rnacentral:rRNA from 1 species
AUUGAACGCUGGCGGCGUGCUUAACACAUGCAAGUCGAACGAGAAAGUCUUAGCUUGCUAAGACGAGUAAAGUGGCGCACGGGUGAGUAACGCGUGAAUAAUCUACCUUCGAAUCUGUGAACAACACACCGAAAGGUGUGCUAAUACCGGAUAAUAUCUUUUGUCCUUAGGUACAGAAGAUCAAAGAUGGCCUCUCCUUGGGAGCUAUUGUUUGAAGAUGAGUUCGCGUACCAUUAGCUAGUUGGUGGGGUAAAGGCCUACCAAGGCAACGAUGGUUAGCUGGUCUGAGAGGAUGUCCAGUCACACUGGAACUGAGACACGGUCCAG